AUGAACAUCCUCAGCUGGAACUGUCGAGGGGGUGGGAGCCCGGCGACAGUGCGUUACCUGCAGUGUUUGGCACAAACUCACUCCCCCAAGAUCGUUUUCCUCUAUGAGACUAGACAACCAAAGGUUAAGAUGAAAAGAUACUGUGCUCGGUUAGGCCUUAGUGGCGUUGAUGCAGUUGAUAGUGUUGGGAGAAGUGGUGGUCUAGCUAUCUUCUGGCAUGAGUCUGUGCAUCUCGAAAUUAAAUCCAUGAAUGAGAGACAUACUGAUGCAUUUUUCAGGGAAUCCGCUGGUGCAACACCUUGGAGGGUGACUUGUGUGUACGGUGUACCUCGGACAGAGGACCGACACCUUAUGUGGAUGCUCAUGCGCGAGUUACAUCUGCAAGUGGACAUGCCUUGGGCGGUGAUUGGGGACUUCAAUGAGGCCAUGUUGGUUUUCAUACACUUCUCUAACACCCCGUGCUCGGCAAGUCACAUGCUCGCCUUCCAUGAUAUUCUGGAGUUGUGUGGUCUUGUGGACCUUGGUUUUUCAGGCCUUCCACACAAAUAUGUUAAUCAGCGCCAGCGACGGGUGAAUGUCAAGGUCUGGCUGGACCGUGCCGUUGUGAACUAUCAAUGGCGGGAUAUUUUUUCUUAA
rnacentral:rRNA from 1 species